GAAGUCUUUUUUUUUUUCUGAAAACAGAUACCUGCCAGUGAGUGGUUUGCAUCAUGACAGUAGCAGACUAACAUGCUGAAAGGAUUCUGGCCCUUUUUGACCUGAUGUUUUUGAUGUUGUAAGUCAAGCAGCAGAAUACUUCAAUUAUGAUAGUGUAUGGUGCCCUUUGGAGAUCAGUGGUUAUAAUUAGUUGCCAUGACUUUUGUUGCUAUGGAUAAUGGAACCUUGUCUACAAUGAUUUUCAAGGUUUUAUGAUUAUUAUUUUUCACUUGUUUUGAAUUUUAAUUAUGAUUGAUUAUCUUUUGGCAUUGUCAUGCUUGACUUCAUUACGGAUAAACGAAGUGAACUCACUAGAUUGGUGGUGAUACUAUUAUUUAUUAUCUUGUUAUAUUGGCUGGCUGCUUUUGCCUUGUCAUCUCUUGUCAUACUUUGCACUUCGCCACAAAAUGGAUUUUACAGUCAAGACUAACUUGAGACCGAUUUAUAUAUAUGUGUGUGUGUGUGUGUGUCAUGUUUCCAUGCAUGCGUUUUUCCUUACAAGAUAACGCUAGUGUGGGAAGUUUUUCGAAGUUGGGCCAUUUAACAUUGGCAGCACAAAACUUGUUACCUACACCAAUUAAUCUUUGGAAGAGGAAGGUUGUGAAGGAUCCUGUGCGUAGAAGAUGUCAGAAUGAGAGAUCUCUUUCAAAACUGAACACAAUCUGAACCUUAAAUCGGAUUGGAUUCUGAUGGGAUGAAUAUGUCAGAUUAAUUUGGGAUAGGAUCAGACCAGGUUAAAUUCAAAUGACAAAUAUCAGUUGAAUUUGGGGGGGACGUCGAUGUGGUUACCAAUUGCCAAAGAAGGCUAAGAUUGUCUAGCCAAAUUGUGGGCAAAAGGAGAAUAAUAAGAGCAAUAAUGACAACAGAGCAUUGAUUUCCACCAAGUGUCAAUCCUUCAAGUUUAAUUGCCAUGUCUGGAAAAAGAUUCUCCAACUCCUCUCUUUCGAAGAUCAAGAAUCAAUUAGUAGAGGUGUAUGUUCAUGACAACUGAAACAAUUAGUCUUUCCUUCUUCCCAGAGGCUCGGUGCUGGCUGGUUCGGGAGUUGAUGUGGGUUUGGGGCUGCCGACUACGUUUGUGGCUGCGGGUUUGUGAAUCUGGCCAACGAUGUCAAUGCGGCUGGGUUCGUGGGUUUGGUUGGGUUCGUAGACUUUGUCUAAUUCAAGUUGACAAGUUCUUAUCCGAAUCCAAUCCAAUGCCUAGUCCUAGUAAGCAUGCUCAAAAGGUAUGGAAACUGACCGCUUUUCGUACGGUAAAUGUUGGGUGCACUUCAAGAGCUGGCAACGAGCAGAGCAUCUGAGCAUAUACUUUAGUGUGUCAGUGUAUGGUAGUAGUUCUAAUUAUAUAGUAUGAUUGUAAAUAUUAAUUGUAAUGUCUGAUGUAAUGUCAGUAAUAUCUCUGUAUAACAAACUUAAAAAAAAAAAAGUUAUAUGAUUUAACUGGAAUUCUAUGACAAAUGCAUGAAAAUAUUUGUUCAUAGAUUGGGAGUGAAAGAGUUUAUGAGAAGCUGAAACAAAACACAAAGUAAGAGAUAAAUGAAAAAAAUAAAAUAAAAAUGGUGGAAGGAUAAGCAAACAAGUAGGAGAGAGAAAUGUCAAUUAAGAAUUAUUAAUUAUAUACCAUUAGUAAAUUAUUAUUAAAAAAAUUAUGUUAAUGUGAUAUAAUCUAUACCAAAUUUAGUAAAAAAAAUUUAUGAUGUACUGCAUCAAAUAAUUCAACCGACCUCGAUCGCCAGUAAGUACCGGUUACUUGCGUCUCAACCAGGGAAGGGUUAAUGCCAUGUCAGUAAUCAACUGAGGGAUGCGUACUGAAAGAUGAUUUGGUCAAGAAUCAAGCCCAUGAAAACAUAAAAAUAAUACUAUAUUUACUUAAUUAGCAUAUUUAAUUUAUAUCUCAAUUAAAAUAAUAAAAAUUGUAUCAUUAUUUAAUUAGUUAAAGUAGUAGUUAAUCAAAAUAUAAUAUCUAACCUUCUAUAAAAGGACCAAAAUGCGGGACAGAGGAAUUACAUUUGCAGUUCCAUAUAUAAAAAGCUCAAUUACAUUAUCUAGAAAGUUAUCAUCUCCAGAGUUUUAAUUUAUUUCAUGCGUUGGAGCAAAUUUGACAUUCGCUUAGAUUUGGAAAUUUCUACUAUUAAUUUUACGCGAAAAACGAUUGAUAAAUUUUACACGACUUACCCAUCAAAUGAACCCAUUAUUUAACUUUGUCGGAAUUUAAUUAUAUUACGAUAAAUAAUAAACUUGAGUUUUCAAUUUUUAGGGUUUAAAAGAAGGAACCCUAAGGCUAAUUCUAGCUCUGAUUUAAUAUCAAUAACCCCAGUAUAAUAUUUUCUUUUCUCCUUGCCAUGUCGUUUUCUGAUUAAGUUUUCUAAGGUGUCAGAACAGAGAAAAGAUAAACAAAUAAAAAUAGAGCACAUAUAAUAAAUACACAACCUAGUUUCUAGACUCCGACGAUAAUUCGAAACCGAAAACGAAAGUGGCAAAAGCGAAAAUAGGGUUUCAUUUCUUUAUUUAUUUUAGGAAAAUUAUCAUUUUAUAUCCUGUAUUUGUUUUUGUUAAAAAUAAUAUCAAUCGUUCACUUUAAGCUGAUAAAAUAUAUCUAUCGACCACUAAAUCGUUAAUUAUCAUUUAAAAAUUAAUAUAAUUACAACGAAUUAACGAUUUUAUUCUUAAAACUUAAAUUAAAGUAAAGAAAAAUGAUCACUUAUAUAUUUUUAAAUUCUUUUAUUAUUAUUUGUGUACCUUUAAAUUAUCACUUCUAUACUUUUAAAUUCUUUUAUUAUCUAUCACUUAUAUCGUGUGGAAAAACUAAAUUACCCCUCUAAUGUCAUCACCUUUAAACAAUAACUAACAAUUUAGUAAAUAAUAGAUAUAUUUUAUCAACUUAAAAUAAAUAAUUAAUAUACUUUUAAAAUAUUAUAAUAUUUUUAAUAACGGAGGAAACUAAGGUUGCUUUAUUUUAUUUUCACUUUUCUUGUGAAACACAGGAACUUCAACGUUAAAAAUUAUUGUAACGUACAAUAUUCUUUCUUUAUCCACAAAGAGCUCGAAAUUUUAUCACUUACCAUUACUUUUUCGUUGGGCCCAUACCAAUCAUUCAUCUUAUUUACCACGGAAAUACCCACCCAGGUAUUUGGUAUGCUAGUGUAGUGUUUUUGGGAACAAUUUAGUCAUCAAGAUGUCUGGUUAUGGUGUAGCUAAUACCAAAAUUUGUAGAAGUAUCUAAAUAAAAACAAAUUGUGCGCUUUAUUUUGCUAAUAUUUUUUGUUCUAGUAAUUUCAUAGAAUUUAUAUUGGUACAGAGAUAGCUAUGUCUCAAGCCUAUAGUAAUUGCGAUUUUCUAAAUGGCUCAGCGUCUUUCCUUGGUCUGAGGAACAAACAUAGGGAUGAAACAAAAAUCUGGCAUCAGAAUCCAUGUGCUGGCUAUUUUUAACAUUGCUUUUUUGGGUUUCAACUAUCAUAGUCUAGAGUACUUUUGCACGCUUAAUUAAGUCAAUAACAGUGGAAAGUUUUCCAAUCAGCAUAAAGGAAUUCCCACAAGAAAUUGUUUGUUUUAAUAGAUUUAAUCUCUAAAAUAAAUGAGGAAAAAUUUCAGCUCAUAAAUAAACAAUUUGUCACUACAUAUGAACAACCUCAGAAAUUUUCAGAAUUAAAAAUCACUCAAAUCAUCUCUCAAAAAUUUCAGCUCAUAAAUAAAAUAAAUACCGGCAAGUGACAGAUCCGGGAGAGCAACAAUGGUUGGGCAAGUGCAGAUCCGGGAGAGCAACAACGAAGUAGCAGUAGACGAAGAUCCGAGAGAGCAAGUGCAGAUCCGAGAGAGCAAAGACUAAGUAGCAGCAGCUGGACGGAGUCGGAGUAGCAGUAGCUGGACGGAGUCGGAGCAGCAGCGGUUACGGCGGAGAAAGAGCAGCGGCAGUGGCUUGCACACCAAGAGCGACCAAGAGAGAGAUUUGCUGCAACUGGAUUGAGAAAAUUGAGGGGAAAUAGGGAGCUGCUGUGAAGAGAAAAGUGAGGGCUGCAGGGUCACGAUUUUUUGGUUGUUUUUUAAUUCAUUUUUAGUUUUAGUUUGUAAAAUUUGGAGAACAUGUUUAACUUAUUUUUUAGUUGUAUAGUUAUAAUAAUGAAUCCGGAUUUUGUGUUUUGUAAUUUAUUUUGUGAAACAAAUCCACCAAACAUGUUUUAUGUGUGUAUUAUAAAAAUGAAAACAAAAACAUAGCUUGCAAAACGGUACCAAACGGGGCCUAAGGUUCCUUUAUUUUAUUUGCACUUUUCUUGUGAAACACAGGAACUUCAACGUUAAAAAUUAUUGUAAAGUACAAUAUUCUUUCUUUAUCCACAAAGAGCUCGAAAUUUUAUCAUUCUUUCUUACUUUUUCGUUGGGCCCAUACCAAUCAUUCAUCUUAUUUACCAUUGACCAAGAGUUUUAGUAAAUAUCAUUAAUUUCCCAAAUCAAAGAAUCAACGCACUAUUUAAUUUAAUUUUAAAAAAUAAAGACGAGAGGUUCAGUAACCAGAGAAACAUCGGAAACUUCUACAUUGCCUCGCUACAUGCGCAAAAAUCCGGAGCCCACUCGCACGGUCUCACCGCUGCAUGUGAAUCUCUGAGCCACUUGUUCACAACGAUCACUUGGGAUUUAAUCACCUUGUAUUCCUAAUUAUCCUUUUAAAAUCAUCCUCCACCAGUAUAAUUUUUCCCUAGUAAGUAAAAUAACGUAUGGAACCCACUUAUUUGUCACUCUUUUUCUACACACAACACAUGUGGACAGACCUUUAAGUCUCCUUGAAUAAUAUAUACACACACUGACACUAUGGAGUCAAUUUGAGAUGUUAGAAGUUGUCUACACAUUUGACAUUGAAUAUCAGUAUUGUGAAUAUAUCAUUAGACUUUAAUAUUAGAUUUAAAAUUAAAAAAAAAAUUCAACAAAUUUUAUUUUGGACUCAACCAAACGCUAAAACAAAUUAACGAAUCAAUCUUGCAUUAUCUCAUUAUCUCUCUUCUUUUGCAUUAUGUUUGUGUCUACCUCACGGCAUAAUGCAUAACGCAUAAUGCAUAAUAAUAGCCCCACCACCAUACUAUAAAAUAAAAAUUUUAUCACAAAAAACCGCAGAUAAUCACGGCUUAAAACCCCUAUAAAUUCCCCCAAUCGGAGAUCGUUUUCACCACCUCUCUCUCGAUCUCUCACUCUCCCCCUAGUUGGCUGGCCAUCUUCUUUACUAGAGAUAAAAGAAGACUGAAAAAAAAAAAAACAAAAUGGGUAAAGCUUUACUGAUUGUUGUUCAUGUUUGUUUGGUCUUAGCCGGCUGCAGCUUCACUGUGUAUGGUGAACAGGUUUACACUGAGAGUUCCAUGGCUAUGCCACCAUCACACUACCACUCGGUAACCCCGGCAACGGCACCAGGCCAUAGCUUCACUGUGUAUGGUGAACAGGUUUACACUGAGAGUUCCAUGGCUAUGCCACCAUCACACUACCACUCGGUAACCCCGGCAACGGCACCAGGCCACCACCACCACCACCACCACCGCCGCCGCCGCAUCCGCGUCCGCCGCCGCCGCCGCCAUAUCCGCGUCCGCCGCCGCCGCCACCACCACCACCACCCCCACCCGCCGGCUCACCCAGCUUCACACGUUGCUCCUGCCCACCCACCUCCACCACACGUUGCUCCUGCUCACCCACCCACACCCACCCAUCGUUUCCCUAGGAGCCUUGUUGAAGUUCAAGGCGUCGUUUAUUGCAAGUCUUGCAAGUACGCAGGAGCUGAUACCCUCCUAGGAGCUACCGCUGUUCUAGGUCAGUUUCGAAAUCUUUCAACUUAAUUUUCCCUGCUUCAAACUCUUACAUACUUGAUUUUUUUCUAUCAUUAUUACUUCAAUUAAUUUCACAUGUAUGUUUAGUUAGAUAUCAUGCAUACAUAACAUACGUAUGGAUGCGAAUGUGCAUUUGUUUUCAUGGAUGCGUGAUGUAUACAUUUCCAGAUUUUGAAUGGAGAGAGAGAGAGGUGCUCUUGAUCUCUUUCUUUCACUUUGUUCUAGGUUUAUGUCACAUUCAGUAGGAGGCAUGGUUAUGGCAGCAUAGCUAGCUACUUUUUCCUUUUUCAAGCUCUCUUUUUGAAGUCCCUAGUAUUUAAAUUUUUUUUUAUUCUUUUAAUAUUGUCCAUGGGUUCAAUUGCAGGGGCGACUCUGAAAUUGCAGUGCAACAACACCAAGUAUCCACUCAAUGUGGUUGGCAAAACGGACAAGAACGGCUACUUCAGGAUCAAAGCACCCAAGACAAUCAUCAGCUACGGAGCUCACAAGUGCAAGCUGUUCCUAGUCACAUCACCCUCGGCUUCCUGCGCCAAACCGUCCAAUCUCCACGGUGGAGCCACCGGCGCCGUUUUGAGGCCUGAGUCACUCUCCGCAGGCAAACCUCCAGUUGCUCUCUACACCGUUGGCCCUUUGGCCUUUGAACCCAAAUGCCCACAUUAAUCUUAUUUUAAUUAUUUUACCCCCCCCUCCCCCCCCCCUCUCUCUCUAAUCUCUAUCUCUGUCUUUUGUUUCAGUCAUAUCGUAUCAUAUCCAGUGCUUUGUACCAAUCUUGUGUUGCAAACUUGUAAUGGGAAUGCCAGUCUGUUUGUUUCUAUUUGUACUGUGUCGCUUCGUUGGCAUUAAUAAAUUAUAGUAUCCCGCUAGUUUAAUUAGCAACAAAUAAAUUAUGAGGCUCAUUUUUUGAAUAUGAAUUAUAUUUAUAAAUGCAUAUGCUAUGGAUCAUGUUUUUUUUCCUUUUUUUUAAAGUUUUUGUCAUCAUAAAUGUACCCAUGUUAUAAAAUUUUACGGCGGAUCUAAAAUUAAAUGGUAAUUAUAUAUAUAUUUAAUCAAAACCAAGAAAAAGGGAAGUAAUGAAACUAAUUGAGUGGUCUGCCUAAUGGCAAACAUGAGAGACAUAGCAAUUGUUACUUUUUUCCUGGGAUACUGUUCAAAAAGAAAAGUCAAGUCCUUGGAAUUUGUUGACUCUCUUUUUUUUUACCUAGUAUUAUUAAAUUAAAUAAUCAUUUAUGUUAGUUAUUUUAAAUCUUAAUUUAUUUUGUGGCGCUGGCCCAUUGGUCAUGGAAAAUGUAAAACGACCGAAAUACAAGGUCUAUUGAGAUUUCCCGAAUGGUUAGAUCACAAUCACUUAACUAGCAUAGCACUGGACCGGUGAACUUUUACCCUCAUUACCCUCACAGAUAAUGAGGGUAAUGAGAAAUAAGAAUUAUGUAUAAUUGUGUAGAUUUAUUUGUAAGUUCUUUUCCUUAUGAAAUAAGAAUGGAGUAGAAAUAUUCUUCGUUUGUGAGGGCUAUUUAUCUGGACAAGGUACUUUAAUAGCUCCAAUUAUAUGUCUGAUUAUAAAUAUCAGUAUAAUUAUCUAUUGUAAUAACAAUUGUAAAUAUCUAAUGUAAUUCAAUAAUCUGGUGUAUUAUCGGUAUUUAAAAAAAAAACUAGGAAUGGAAGAUAAAUUGACAACCACUUAAAAUAAAAUAAAAAAUUUGAUGUAAAAAUUUUUAAUUUGUGAAAGAUAACUGCUGCGAUUAAACAUCUGCCCGAAAUGUUUUAGAUCACAAAUUUCAGAUUUUAAAAUGAUUAAAAUCACAUAUUCAUUUCAAUAGCACCUUUUUAGUGCAUAUUGUAGUUAGUUAACCGCGGUGUCCAACUUCAAAGUAAUAUAGAGCAUAUUAAAUUGCAUUCCAUAAUCGAUUUUGUACAUUUAAAGUACCACAUUAUUUUUACAAGUCAAUCACAUGUUUAUUCAUAUGCAUAUUUAGAUAGAAAAUUGGUAAAACAACACCCAAACAUCGUAUAUAUUUUCUCACAAUAAUUAUGCAUCACGUAAAAAAUAUUUCAAACGGUUUUUUUCUUUUUCUUUUUUUGGGAAAACAAAGCAACUUUGUGAGGUAAGUAGGAAUGAUGAUUAAAAUACAUUUUAAAAAUAUAAAUUUACAACUAUAAAUUGACAAAAAUGAUACGCAUCUCAUCAAUAAGCCCGCUAAAGUAAAAUAUUUGUGUAAUUCUAUCAUUAAUUCAAACUUUAAGGAGGAUCAAGCUACGGUACCACAGUGGUACCGUACCACUAUUUUUGUCUUUUUGUCAGCACAACUGUAAAUUUUUAUAGAACCCAUUUUACUCAAUUUUAUUUAAUCUUUGCUUUAUAAAUAUUAAGUUAAUUUCUACUGCAUCCAUAUGAACAUUUUACUUAGCACCUUAAACUAUUUACUAUUUACACAUUUUUAUUCUAUAUUGCACAUACAUCACAAUACCCCUCUCUUUAUCACAAUACCCACGAACCCGACUCGGAUUUUGUCUCCGUUUCCGGCCACUCCUCCGACCAAGGUUGGUACCGAUUGGAAGCUCGUGCGACGCCGGUCAUCUUCAUGCCAUCCUUGUCGCAAAAAAAAAUUCUGCUUCCUGGCUGAAUUUGUAACUUGCAACAUGGCUACUAUUUUGUUUCCAUUCAUAAAAAACUAUGCUGUCUCAGUAUCUUAAAGAUUUAAUCAACUCCUUAAUUUUCAAUCGAAUAUCUUCUUCAGUGUAGUCCACUGUUUCUGUUAUACCUCCAUAUUGAACUGUUUAAUCUUCUUAAAAGAGAUAAAGUGAAGGUACCCUGUUUCUUCUUAGGAUGUAUCCAACACUGUUGUUGUCUGUGGGCAACGGUUAUCUUCUUAACGGUGGCAACUAAUGCAUUUCCUACUGCAUCCAGUUCAUUGCAGUUGGUAGACUCUGAUUGUUUUUGCAUAUUCAAGCACACUGUACCACUUCCCUCCAUUGUUAACACCUGGUAGCUUGUUACACUCUGACCAUUCCUUUAAUGGCUUGACCACUUCCUGAUCUGAGUUUUAGAUUCAUUUUAGUAUUAGUUGUAUUAUGUGAAUUAGUGCAAACUUUUUGAUUUGCAAAAGGUUGCUCAACCCUGUAGCGGAUUUGAAUUGCUGAUUGCUAAAUUACGAUUUGAUGAUUACAGGUCGAAGUCUUUUUUUUUCUAAAAACAGAUGCCUGCCAGUGAGUGGUUUGCAUCAUGACAGUAGCAGACUAACAAGCUGAAAGGAUUCUGGCCCUUUUUGACCUGAUGUUCUUGAUGUUGUAAGUCAAGCAGCAGAAUACUUCAAUUAUGAUAGGGUAUGGUGCCCUUUGGAGAUCAGUGGUUAUAAUUAGUUGCCAUGACUUUUGUUGCUAUGGAUAAUGGAACCUUGUCUACAAUGAUUUUCAAGGUUUUAUGAUGAUUUUUUUCACUUGUUUUGAAUUUUAAUUAUGAUUGACUAUCUUUUGGCAUUGUCAUGCUUGACUUCAUUAAGGAUAAACGAAGUGAACUCGCUAGAUUGGUGGUGAUACUAUUAUUUAUUAUCUUGUUAUAUUGGCUGGCUG
rnacentral:lncRNA from 1 species